rnacentral:rRNA from 1 species
UCGGGAAUUUUGGGCAAUGGGCGAAAGCCUGACCCAGCAACGCCGCGUGAGGGAUGAAGUAUUUCGGUAUGUAAACCUCGAAAGAAUGGGAAGAAUAAAUGACGGUACCAUUUAUAAGCUCCGGCUAACUACGUGCCAGCAGCCGCGGUAAUACGUAGGGAGCAAGCGUUGUUCGGAUUUAUUGGGCGUAAAGAGCUCGUAGGCGGCUUGUCGCGUCGACUGUGAAACUCCACGGCUCAACCGUGGGACUGCAGUCGAUACGGGCAGGCUAGAGUUCGGUAGGGGAGACUGGAAUUCCUGGUGUAGCGGUGAAAUGCGCAGAUAUCAGGAGGAACACCGGUGGCGAAGGCGGGUCUCUGGGCCGAUACUGACGCUGAGGAGCGAAAGCGUGGGGAGCGAACA